GAUUCAGUAGCUCAGUUGGUAGAGCAACGCCCUUUUAAGGCGUGGGUCCUGGGUUCGAAUCCCAGCUGGAUCA
rnacentral:tRNA from 1 species